UUCAUCUUCUGAUAGGCUCGAGAUAUGCUGUGCAAAGAAAUGGAAAUAUAUUAAUGGCAUUUAAUAACAAGGAAGCAAGCCUAGCUAUUCCUUUGUUUUCACCUGUCCUUGUGCCAAUGGCCCAAAGUAUUGGACCAUUUUUAUCGCAAAUAGCAUCAUCACCAACUAUU